GGUCUCUGCACCUUCUUUUGGCGCCUGUACCUGAGCGUAGGAGGCUGCGUUUUCCCCUUGAGAGUAAAUGAGAGCUGAGCCUGAAUCCACUGUUGUCACGGAGCUAAAGGCGGUGAAUUCCGCUAAAAUGGUCAGGUUUUGGUAAAGAGUUGGAAGCCUUGUGCAGCUGAGAUCCAUUCCACGGAGUGAUGCCAAUCUACACGUUCCAGACGUUUUUACAGAGCUUUGCGGAUUCCCAGUCUAGGUGGCUGGGUGGCGAGCCAACCGUGUUUGUGACUCUGACUUUAGACGGAUUGCCAGGAUCUUCCUCAUCUUCAUGGUGGUAGGACAAACACUAACACAAACUUAAAAGGGCCCCAACGGUGAGAAAUGAACUCUUGUCAAUAAAGGCAAGUGGAACUAAGGACGAACUGAGUUCAACGAAGUUAAAAGGAAAGUUUUUUUUUUGUGCGCACUUUAUUAUUUUAGUUUGUUGUUUUUCAUACCUGCUUUCUUAUGUAUGUACCAUCCCUGUGUAUUUAAUACACUUAAUGCAAACUGUCAUUCGGGUGUGGUAUUCUUUUUAUUGACAUUCAAUUCUCAGGCUCUUAACAAUUUAGUGUCUUCUGAUUCUGACUACUUUAGACUAUUACACCUAUGUACAUUAUUACUACCUCGUGAUAAGGCAUUCUUUCUCACCCUUCUCUGUCCUUUUUACUUGUGUCCUGUUUUUCAGGGUCCCAUCAUAAUUUCUUAAGAAGUAAGUACUGUAUAUGAUGUCAGUAUUUUCCAACAUUUUCUAAAUACUGUACCAGUACUGUGUAAAAUGCCAUCAAAAAGUCAAUUAAGCGUUAUUCUUUUUCACCUUUCUUUCUUUGUCUCCUUUCACUUUUUAAAGGCUGCCAUGUUAAAAAAAAUAUUUUGUGCCGCCAUGCUGU